rnacentral:rRNA from 1 species
UACACUCCUACGGGAGGCAGCAGUGGGGAAUUUUGGACAAUGGGCGAAAGCCUGAUCCAGCCAUGCCGCGUGCAGGAUGAAGGCCUUCGGGUUGUAAACUGCUUUUGUACGGAACGAAACGGCCUUUUCUAAUAAAGAGGGCUAAUGACGGUACCGUAAGAAUAAGCACCGGCUAACUACGUGCCAGCAGCCGCGGUAAUACGUAGGGUGCAAGCGUUAAUCGGAAUUACUGGGCGUAAAGCGUGCGCAGGCGGUUAUGUAAGACAGUUGUGAAAUCCCCGGGCUCAACCUGGGAACUGCAUCUGUGACUGCAUAGCUAGAGUACGGUAGAGGGGGAUGGAAUUCCGCGUGUAGCAGUGAAAUGCGUAGAUAUGCGGAGGAACACCGAUGGCGAAGGCAAUCCCCUGGACCUGUACUGACGCUCAUGCACGAAAGCGUGGGGAGCAAACAGGAUUAGAUACCCGUGUAGUCCC